GCCUGGGUGGCUCAGUCGGUUGAGCGUCUGACUUCGGCUCAGGUCGUGAUCUCGCGGUCCGUGGGUUCGAGCCCUGUGCCGGGCU
rnacentral:tRNA from 1 species